AGCCCGGGUGACAGAGCGAGACUCUUGUCUCAAAAUAAACAAACAAACAAACAAACACAUAAAUAAAUGUCCUAACGCACUUUUGACAAGUCUGCGAGGAAGCAGGUACUUCUGUCCAUUUCUGGUGGGAGAAUCAAUUGGUCCAGCCCUUGAAGAGGGCAGUUUGGCAGCAUGUGCCCAUUGACCCAGUAAUUCAACUUCUGGGAAUUUAUUCAGAUAUACUCACACAUAGGAAAAAUGACUUAACAGGGUAUUAAUAUAGCACCGGAUUGUUUGAAGGAGAACAUUGGAAACCUAAAGGUCUGUGGUUAGGGGCCUGGGUAAGUAACAUUGCAGCAGUAACCCUUAGUAAACCCUUAGUAAUACUGGGCGGCAGAGGGUGGCAGAGGUGGGAAGGGACCCGGGUGGGGGACAACAUUUGUAGGGAGACUUUCCAAUGGACUCCGUUUUGUAGCUUUUGAUUUUCGAAUGAUAUAACUUCUUACCUAUCCAAAAAAUUAAAUUUUAAAAUGAAUAACAGUGUACUGAGGUGGCAUUUAGUCGAGAGAACAUUGCCUUACUUUGUUCGGGACAUAAUCUUUUUUAUUGUCGUGUUUUUAUUGCCGUCCUGUUGAGACGGUAGUUUCAGGCCCCUGAAGUUUGUUGGGUUGGUUUCCGUCUUCCUCUCGCCUCCCACCUCCUUCUCCUACACAAGAUCUCCAAAUGUCAAACCAUGAGUAUUAAAAAAAAAACACAAAACAACAUUGCAUGCAUCGGUACCCCUCAUGGCUGUGACCAACUCCUUUUCUAUGGCAUGCACAGAUUUGAAGAUGGAAAAAAGAAAGCUCCACUUGUCUUUGCAUGUAAUUUCUGACUGAUGCAGGCGACACAUUCACAUUUAGGAUGUGAACUAUUGUUCGAACUGCUGGAGAGCUGCCCAGCCCGCUUCAUCUGGUAGAAGUUACUACAUUUUGGCAAGAAUGUCUUCCUUGUGAACGCGUGAGCUUCAGAUCCUAGCACUUCUCAAGCACCUUGCUGGCACUGGUCAGUGUUUGCCUUGUGCCUUGUGACUGGCAACCUCUCAGUGAGGAAGAGCGGACGGUUGGCGUGUUGAGAAACGCGGUGCGUGUGUUUGUACCUGUUAGGCAAGUAUCGAGGAGGCAGUUUAGCUUAGUGCUUCACCGCGAGCUUGGGUUUGGAGGUCGGCAGACCUGGGCUGCAGGGCUUGCUUUGCCACAGGCAUGAUAGCGCUGUGAAGAUUAAAUGAGAUGGUAUUGGAUCAAGUGUUUACCAUGGAGCGUGGAACAGAGCAAGGGCCAGCGCACACGCUGUCCUUUCCUCGGAUGCGGAGCCCGCCCCGAGACGGCCUUUGCCGACAUGCCAGCCCCUGCCCUGGCGGCCACGCUGGGGCGGCGUGGUCGGGAAGUGGAGCCAGAGGCUGCCCGGAGCAUCCAUCUGGCUGGGGAAGGUGUUCCUUUGUAGUGACAGGAAGUUCAGCUUCUGGAAACACUGAUAGCAGGAAGUGGCUGGGGUCCUCCAGCAAUUUUUGGCAAGAAAUGAAAGGGAAAUGUGUUGAAAAUAAAAGGGGAGAAUUUUUGGAAAGAGAAAGAACUAAAAAAAAAAAA